CCUACGGGCGGCAGCAGUGAGGAAUAUUGGUCAAUGGGCGGGAGCCUGAACCAGCCAUGUCGCGUGCAGGAUGACGGCCCUACGAGUUGUAAACUUCUUUUGUACCGGGGUAAAAUGCUCCACGUGUGGGUUUUUGAAAGUACUGUACGAAUAAGGAUCGGCUAACUCCGGGCCAGCAGCCGCGGUAAUACGGAGGAUCCGAGCGUUAUCCGGAUUUAUUGGGUUUAAAGGGGGCGUAGGUUGGUUUAUAAGUUAGCGGUGAAAUCCCGAUGCUCAACCUCGGGGCUGCCUUUGAGACUGGAGGACUAGAGAGCGGGUGAGGCAGGCGGAAUGUGGAGUGUAGCGGUGAAAUGCAUAGAUAU
rnacentral:rRNA from 1 species